UGCUAAGCUAACGAGAGCGUUACAGUUUUCCUUACACGUCAUCUUCCGAGCAUCUGGCAACGGAAUGCCUUUAUGGUCGGAGAUCGGAGAUAUCAAGUACAAAUGUGACAAACAGGAAGGUACUGGCUGCCGAUAAGAAUCAUUUGGAAAUUUGCUGGUCACUUUUCCUUAAAAACAGUUUCACUACUGUUUUAAAGGGUAAUCACAGAGGUCUGAAGGUCCAUACAAAGCAAGUGAAUGGAGACCAGAACUUUGAAGCUCCAAAAAUCACAAAAAGGCUGCAUAAAAGUAAUUCAUAAGACUCUGAAAAGUGUGGGUGAGAAACAGAUCAGU